rnacentral:misc_RNA from 1 species
UACGUUUUGUUCCAUUAUGCUAAAGCAUAUGCUCCCCUUACUCUUGGAUAAAUUCAAUCUUAUAUAAUUCUCACUCCACUCACUGUAAGCUCUCUCUCAUCUUGUAUGCUAAAUAAUUAAUUUUCAAGAUGGCGAAGGAAGUGACAGAAGAAGCAGGGGAGGCUUCGCAGCAAGAAAGAGACUAUGUGGAACCGCCACCAGCACCUCUUUUCGACCCGGAAGAGCUUGGUCUGUGGUCUUUUUACAGAGCUGUCAUCGCAGAGUUCAUUGCUACCCUUCUCUUUCUCUAUGUCACUAUUGCCACCGUGAUUGGCUACAAGAAACAAACUGACCCCUGUGCAGGCGUUGGCUUUCUAGGCAUUGCAUGGUCUUUUGGUGGCAUGAUUUUCAUCCUUGUAUACUGUACUGCUGGAAUAUCAGGUGGUCACAUUAACCCAGCUGUGACCUUUGGUUUGUUCUUGGCAAGGAAGGUGUCACUGGUGCGAGCAAUUGCUUACAUGGUUGCUCAGUGCUUGGGAGCAAUAUGUGGAGUAGGUAUAGUUAAGGGAAUUAUGAAGGACUUUUAUAAUGCACAAGGAGGUGGUGCUAACACUGUGGCUGCGACAUACUCCAAGGGAACUGCUCUAGGAGCUGAGAUUAUUGGGACUUUUGUCCUCGUCUAUAUUGUGUUAUCUGCCACUGACCCCAAGCGUAACGCGCGUGAUUCUCACGUUCCUGUUUUGGCUCCCUUGCCAAUUGGGUUUGCAGUUUUUAUGGUGCACCUAGCUACCAUCCCCAUAACAGGCACUGGAAUCAACCCGGCUCGUAGCUUUGGGGCUGCUGUUAUAUAUAACAACGACAAAGUCUGGGAUGACCAGUGGAUCUUCUGGGUAGGGCCAUUUGUGGGAGCACUUGCUGCAGCAAUAUA